AGCACAUUGUCUACGGCUAUGUGGGGUUUAGACAGCAGACAGGUAGGCAGCACACUGUCUACGGCUAUGUGGGGUUUAGACAGCAGACAGGUAGGCAGCACACUGUCUACGGCUAUGUGGGGUUUAGACAGCAGACAGGUAGGCAGCACACUGUCUACGGCUAUGUGGGGUUUAGACAGCAGACAGGUAGGCAGCACACUGUCUACGGCUAUGUGGGGUUUAGACAGCAGACAGGUAGGCAGCACACUGUCUACGGCUAUGUGGGGUUUAGACAGCAGACAGGCAACAGGCAGGUAGGCAGCACACUGUCUACGGCUAUGUGGGGUUUAGACAGCAGACAGGUAGGCAGCACACUGUCUACGGCUAUGUGGGGUUUAGACAGCAGACAGGCAACAGGCAGGUAGGCAGCACACUGUCUACGGCUAUGUGGGGUUUAGACAGCAGACAGGUAGGCAGCACACUGUCUACGGCUAUGUGGGGUUUAGACAGCAGACAGGUAGGCAGCACACUGUCUACGGCUAUGUGGGGUUUAGACAGCAGACAGGUAGGCAGCACACUGUCUACGGCUAUGUGGGGUUUAGACAGCAGACAGGUAGGCAGCACACUGUCUACGGCUAUGUGGGGUUUAGACAGCAGACAGGCAACAGACAGGUGCCAUAAGCAGAAUUGGGGGUAAUGUGUAGUUGAAUGAAAGACUGCGAGGAGAAGAUGAAGGACUGGUUGGCACACUGAUAGGCAGAGAGGACUGGUAGGCACACUGAUAGGCAGAGAGGACUGGUUGGCACACUGAUAGGCAGAGAGGACUGGUUGGCACACUGAUAGGCAGAGAGGACUGGUUGGCACACUGAUAGGCAGAGAGGACUGGUUGGCACACUGAUAGGCAGAGAGGACUGGUUGGCACACUGAUAGGCAGAGAGGACUGGUUGGCACACUGAUAGGCAGAGAGGACUGGUUGGCACACUGAUAGGCAGAGAGGACUGGUUGGCACACUGAUAGGCAGAGAGGACUGGUUGGCACACUGAUAGGCAGAGAGGGAGAUGGAUGGAUGGACGGACGGACGGGCAGGGGACAGACAGAUCUAGAGGGAGCCUGUAUUUAAGUUUAGAUUUUUCACUGGGGUUUUGUCUAGCCUGUUAAAUCUUGUUGGACUUUUUAUGAAUCUAAAUCCAAGUUUAUUGGUCACGUGGCUGUAAACGGUUCAGAGACAUGCAGACUUGCAGUUCUUCCUCAACAGUGCAGAAUAGUGGGUCCCUAUCAUCAUGCUGUUCCACCCUGGUUUCCACCUCCUCCUCCUCCC